rnacentral:lncRNA from 1 species
CAGCUUUGGAUACAUCUGCUUUAGACAAGUUUGUUCAAGUAUCAUGAGCCGAUGAUGCAGAGCGCUUUGGUACAAGUAUCUUUCGGCACAUUAUACUGGCAGUUAAAGUCGGCUUUGGCCUCUACCUCUGUACAGUAUGUAUAAUCAGUGCGUCAAUCUCUGAUUCUGAGGAGGUUCAUUUUUCGGAUGGUUUUGGUCACAGGCACUCGAAAUACUAGUUGAUGGCUAUGUUUACUUUAGUUUUUACUUAUGUUCCAUGUAUGCUACAGAGAUGUUC